UACGUAGGGGGCAAGCGUUGUCCGGAAUUACUGGGCGUAAAGGGCUCGUAGGCGGCCAACUAAGUCGGAUGUGAAAUCCCCAGGCUCAACCUGGGAACUGCAUCCGAUACUGGAUGGCUUGAAUUCGGGAGAGGGAUGCAGAAUUCCAGGUGUAGCGGUGAAAUGCGUAGAUAUCUGGAGGAAUACCGGUGGCGAAGGCGGCAUCCUGGACCGACAUUGACGCUGAUGAGCGAAAGCUAGGGGAGCAAACGGG
rnacentral:rRNA from 1 species